CUGUCGAAUCUCACGGCUCCCUCUUCGCCGCCUCUCUCCCAGAGUUCCAGUCGGCGCGAACCUCUUCGUCGCCACCCCUCCCGGCUCCCAGUCGCUCCUCUCACCGGCGACGCCUUCGCAAGGCUGCUGAAGGAGUCGAUUCACCGCUGCCGGAGUCGAUUCGCCGCCAACAGUAGCAGCAGCCAGCAGCAGCCUACAAUUCCCUAAUUUAAGGUCAAAUUUCUUCCCCUUUUUAAAUUUGCUUGUUGAUGAUUUCUUAAUAUGCAUAUUCAAUUUUUGGUCUACUAAAAAUGAAAUUUUAUAAUUACAGAAACUAUUAUAUCGACGACCUCUGUAUUAUUUUUUUAAAAUCUGUGUUGUUACAUGCUAAUUAACGUUUAAUGUAAUCAAAGAUAACUGCCAAAAGUUGUAGCAAUGGAGAGAUGAUUGCAACUUAGUUCUAUGGCAUUACGAUAGACAUAACAAAGCAUUUUUUCCUUUUUAAGUUUUGCUUUCUGUUGGUGAAUGGCGACUGAUUACGUUUAGGAGGUUCAGUGUAACUCAAUUGCUAUUAUUCAAAGUAAUCAAAUUUUGAUAAAUCAUCUCACGAAACUGUUCCAAAUUAUUCAAGUUUUUAUCUAUAUUUGGUUAAGUGCCAAUUCUUACUUAGAUCCGAACUUUUUAAUAAAAAAAUCAUUUGAUGCAUAGUCUAUUGUUUUUAUUUGAUGCAUAGUCUAUUGUUUUUAUUUGAUGCAUAGUCAGAUUAUUUGAUGCCAUUAGAUUAUCUUUGUGUUAUAGGUAAUUAUGUCUAGCAAUGAUGAGUACAAUGAGUACAAUGAUGAAAAUACUUACACGACAUAUACAAGUGAUAUGCCGAGUACUGCUGGUACGUCUGCUGCCCCUGCUGCCCAGCCUGCCCUUGCUGCCACAACUGCAGAAACUGGUUUGGGAACGUCCAAUCCCACAGCUAAGCCCCCAACGAGUACUUGAUCAAUACCGUAGCUCACUUAAAGCAAGCACAGUGGAGGCAAUUAUUUGCACUAGAGAUUGGUUGUUUGGAGAAAAAGGUAUGAGUUUUUUGUGUUAUUAAUGUUAACAAUUUAUAUUAUUGUAUAUAUUUAAUAUUAAUUCAUAUUUUUUUUCGUUCAAAGCCUUCAAAAGCGAAAUACCAACAUCUGAGUUAGCCGAAGACUUUCUACAUGGCGAUGAUGAACCUCAAACCGAAUCUUCUUCGGUCUCCACUAUUGCUGUUGCAUGAAGGCUGUCACUUAGUCUAGUUAUGUUUUGAUUUGUUAAGCUCACUU
rnacentral:lncRNA from 1 species